rnacentral:misc_RNA from 1 species
UACGUAGGUGGCAAGCGUUGUCCGGAAUCAUUGGGCGUAAAGGGCGCGUAGGCGGAAUAGUAAGUCAGGGGUGAAAAUCUUGAGCUUAACUCAAGACCUGCCUCUGAUACUGCUGUUCUUGAGUACGGGAGAGGAAGGCGGAAUUCCCGGUGUAGCGGUGAAACGCGUAGAUAUCGGGAAGAACACCGGUAGCGAAGGCGGCUUUCUGGCCCGUAACUGACGCUGAGGCGCGAAAGCGUGGGGAGCAAACAGG